rnacentral:rRNA from 1 species
GGAUAACUCCGGGAAACCGGGGCUAAUACCGGAUGGUUGUCUGAACCGCAUGGUUCAGACAUAAAAGGUGGCUUCGGCUACCACUUACAGAUGGACCCGCGGCGCAUUAGCUAGUUGGUGAGGUAACGGCUCACCAAGGCGACGAUGCGUAGCCGACCUGAGAGGGUGAUCGGCCACACUGGGACUGAGACACGGCCCAGACUCCUACGGGAGGCAGCAGUAGGGAAUCUUCCACAAUGGGCGAAAGCCUGAUGGAGCAAUGCCGCGUGAAUGAAGAAGGUCUUCGGAUCGUAAAGUUCUGUUAUUAGAGAAGAACAAGUCAAGGAGUAACUGUCUUGACUUUGACGGUACCUAACCAGAAAGUCACGGCUAACUACGUGCCAGCAGCCGCGGUAAUACGUAGGUGACGAGCGUUGUCCGGAAUUAUUGGGCGUAAAGGGAGCGCAGGCGGUUGGAAUAGUCUGAUGUGAAAGCCCACGGCUUAACCGUGGAAGGUCAUUGGAAACUGUCCAACUUGAAUGCAGAAGAGGAGAGUGGAAUUCCAUGUGUAGCGGUGAAAUGCGUAGAUAUAUGGAGGAACACCAGUGGCGAAGGCGACUUUCUGGUCUGUAAUUGACGCUGAGGCUCGAAAGCGUGGGUAGCGAACAGGAUUAGAUACCCUGGUAGUCCACGC